rnacentral:tRNA from 1 species
GGCGGGAUGGCUCAGUCGGUAGAGCAGGUGAAUCAUAAUCACUUGGUCGGGGGUUCGAGUCCCUCUCCCGCUA